rnacentral:tRNA from 1 species
AUUUAAAUAGUUUAUUAAAAAUAUUGAUUUGUGGAAUCAAAGAUAUAUGCAAUUAUUUUGAAUA